AAGCAAGGAUAAAAACACAGUCCCGGUUGGUAGUCCGGGCGCAGCGAAGCUGUCAGUAACCUGCCUCCUUUGGUUGUCCCUUCCUUGUUUGAUU
rnacentral:ncRNA from 1 species